CCUACGUGAGGCAGCAGUGGGGGAUAUUGCACAAUGGGGGAAACCCUGAUGCAGCGACGCCGCGUGAGUGAAGAAGUAUUUCGGGAUGUAAAGCUCUGUCAGCAGGGAAGAAAGAAAGGACGGAACCUGACCAAGAAGCCCCGGCUAACUACGUGCCAGCAGCCGCGGGAAGACGUAGGGGGCAAGCGUUAUCCGGCAUUACUGGGUGGAAAGGGAGCGUAGACGGUUAAGUAAGUCUGGAGUGAAAGGCCGGGCACCAACCCCGGGACUGCGCUGGAAACUAUUGAACUUGAGUGCAGGAGAGGUAAGCGGAAUUCCUAGUGUAGCGGUGAAAUGCGUAGAUAUUAGGAGGAACACCAGUGGCGAAGGCGGCUUACUGGACUGUAACUGACGUUGAGGCUCGAAAGCGUGGGGAGCAAACAGGAUUAGAUACCCCUGUAGUC
rnacentral:rRNA from 1 species